rnacentral:rRNA from 1 species
UAAGAGGUCCCGCCUGCCCUGUGACUAUUAGUUUAACGGCCGCGGUAUUUUGACCGUGCGAAGGUAGCGCAAUCACUUGUCUUUUAAAUGAAGACCUGUAUGAAUGGCAUAACGAGGGCUUAACUGUCUCCUCUUUCUAGUCAAUGAAAUUGAUCUUCCCGUGCAGAAGCGGGAAUGGUAACAUAAGACGAGAAGACCCUAUGAAGCUUUAGACACCAAGACAGAUCAUGCUAAACACCCCCCAAUAAAGGACUAAACCAAAUGAACCCUGUCCUAAUGUCUUUGGUUGGGGCGACCGCGGGGAAACAAAAAACCCCCACGUGGAAUGGGAGCACCCCUCCUACAACUAUGAGCCCCAGCUCUAGUUAACAGAACUUCUGACCAGUAAGAUCCGGCAGUGCCGAUCAACGAACCGAGUUACUCUAGGGAUAACAGCGCAAUCCUCUUUUAGAGCCCAUAUCGACAAGGGGGUUUACGACCUCGAUGUUGGAUCAGGACAUCCUAAUGGUGCAGCCGCUAUUAAGGGUUCGUUUGUUCAACG